UUAAGCGACUAAGCGUACACGGUGGAUGCCCUGGCAGUCAGAGGCGAUGAAGGACGUGCUAAUCUGCGAUAAGCGUCGGUAAGGUGAUAUGAACCGUUAUAACCGGCGAUUUCCGAAUGGGGAAACCCAGUGUGAUUCGUCACACUAUCAUUAACUGAAUCCAUAGGUUAAUGAGGCGAACCGGGGGAACUGAAACAUCUAAGUACCCCGAGGAAAAGAAAUCAACCGAGAUUCCCCCAGUAGCGGCGAGCGAACGGGGAGCAGCCCAGAGCCUGAAUCAGUGUGUGUGUUAGUGGAAGCGUCUGGAAAGGCGCGCGAUACAGGGUGACAGCCCCGUACACAAAAAUGCACAUGCUGUGAGCUCGAUGAGUAGGGCGGGACACGUGGUAUCCUGUCUGAAUAUGGGGGGACCAUCCUCCAAGGCUAAAUACUCCUGACUGACCGAUAGUGAACCAGUACCGUGAGGGAAAGGCGAAAAGAACCCCGGCGAGGGGAGUGAAAAAGAACCUGAAACCGUGUACGUACAAGCAGUGGGAGCACGCUUAGGCGUGUGACUGCGUACCUUUUGUAUAAUGGGUCAGCGACUUAUAUUCUGUAGCAAGGUUAACCGAAUAGGGGAGCCGAAGGGAAACCGAGUCUUAACUGGGCGUUAAGUUGCAGGGUAUAGACCCGAAACCCGGUGAUCUAGCCAUGGGCAGGUUGAAGGUUGGGUAACACUAACUGGAGGACCGAACCGACUAAUGUUGAAAAAUUAGCGGAUGACUUGUGGCUGGGGGUGAAAGGCCAAUCAAACCGGGAGAUAGCUGGUUCUCCCCGAAAGCUAUUUAGGUAGCGCCUCGUGAAUUCAUCUCCGGGGGUAGAGCACUGUUUCGGCAAGGGGGUCAUCCCGACUUACCAACCCGAUGCAAACUGCGAAUACCGGAGAAUGUUAUCACGGGAGACACACGGCGGGUGCUAACGUCCGUCGUGAAGAGGGAAACAACCCAGACCGCCAGCUAAGGUCCCAAAGUCAUGGUUAAGUGGGAAACGAUGUGGGAAGGCCCAGACAGCCAGGAUGUUGGCUUAGAAGCAGCCAUCAUUUAAAGAAAGCGUAAUAGCUCACUGGUCGAGUCGGCCUGCGCGGAAGAUGUAACGGGGCUAAACCAUGCACCGAAGCUGCGGCAGCGACACUAUGUGUUGUUGGGUAGGGGAGCGUUCUGUAAGCCUGUGAAGGUGUACUGUGAGGUAUGCUGGAGGUAUCAGAAGUGCGAAUGCUGACAUAAGUAACGAUAAAGCGGGUGAAAAGCCCGCUCGCCGGAAGACCAAGGGUUCCUGUCCAACGUUAAUCGGGGCAGGGUGAGUCGACCCCUAAGGCGAGGCCGAAAGGCGUAGUCGAUGGGAAACAGGUUAAUAUUCCUGUACUUGGUGUUACUGCGAAGGGGGGACGGAGAAGGCUAUGUUGGCCGGGCGACGGUUGUCCCGGUUUAAGCGUGUAGGCUGGUUUUCCAGGCAAAUCCGGAAAAUCAAGGCUGAGGCGUGAUGACGAGGCACUACGGUGCUGAAGCAACAAAUGCCCUGCUUCCAGGAAAAGCCUCUAAGCAUCAGGUAACAUCAAAUCGUACCCCAAACCGACACAGGUGGUCAGGUAGAGAAUACCAAGGCGCUUGAGAGAACUCGGGUGAAGGAACUAGGCAAAAUGGUGCCGUAACUUCGGGAGAAGGCACGCUGAUAUGUAGGUGAAGUCCCUCGCGGAUGGAGCUGAAAUCAGUCGAAGAUACCAGCUGGCUGCAACUGUUUAUUAAAAACACAGCACUGUGCAAACACGAAAGUGGACGUAUACGGUGUGACGCCUGCCCGGUGCCGGAAGGUUAAUUGAUGGGGUUAGCGCAAGCGAAGCUCUUGAUCGAAGCCCCGGUAAACGGCGGCCGUAACUAUAACGGUCCUAAGGUAGCGAAAUUCCUUGUCGGGUAAGUUCCGACCUGCACGAAUGGCGUAAUGAUGGCCAGGCUGUCUCCACCCGAGACUCAGUGAAAUUGAACUCGCUGUGAAGAUGCAGUGUACCCGCGGCAAGACGGAAAGACCCCGUGAACCUUUACUAUAGCUUGACACUGAACAUUGAGCCUUGAUGUGUAGGAUAGGUGGGAGGCUUUGAAGUGUGGACGCCAGUCUGCAUGGAGCCGACCUUGAAAUACCACCCUUUAAUGUUUGAUGUUCUAACGUUGACCCGUAAUCCGGGUUGCGGACAGUGUCUGGUGGGUAGUUUGACUGGGGCGGUCUCCUCCUAAAGAGUAACGGAGGAGCACGAAGGUUGGCUAAUCCUGGUCGGACAUCAGGAGGUUAGUGCAAUGGCAUAAGCCAGCUUGACUGCGAGCGUGACGGCGCGAGCAGGUGCGAAAGCAGGUCAUAGUGAUCCGGUGGUUCUGAAUGGAAGGGCCAUCGCUCAACGGAUAAAAGGUACUCCGGGGAUAACAGGCUGAUACCGCCCAAGAGUUCAUAUCGACGGCGGUGUUUGGCACCUCGAUGUCGGCUCAUCACAUCCUGGGGCUGAAGUAGGUCCCAAGGGUAUGGCUGUUCGCCAUUUAAAGUGGUACGCGAGCUGGGUUUAGAACGUCGUGAGACAGUUCGGUCCCUAUCUGCCGUGGGCGCUGGAGAACUGAGGGGGGCUGCUCCUAGUACGAGAGGACCGGAGUGGACGCAUCACUGGUGUUCGGGUUGUCAUGCCAAUGGCACUGCCCGGUAGCUAAAUGCGGAAGAGAUAAGUGCUGAAAGCAUCUAAGCACGAAACUUGCCCCGAGAUGAGUUCUCCCUGACUCCUUGAGAGUCCUGAAGGAACGUUGAAGACGACGACGUUGAUAGGCCGGGUGUGUAAGCGCAGCGAUGCGUUGAGCUAACCGGUACUAAUGAACCGUGAGGCUUAACCUU
rnacentral:rRNA from 2 species